CACACCCAGGAAGGGAUAAGCCAUGUAUGUCUCCUGAUAAAGGAGGCGGUUACAGGAUUUUUUUUUUUUCUUUUUAACUAUUAGGCCCAAGGUUACUGGGGAAAAUGACCAAGCCAGCAGGAGACAUGGAGAAGACCCCACCUCCAAGGCAGCGGGGACGCCUCUGCCAGCCCCAGCCCCUUGUCUCCUGUGUCUCCUCGUGUCCGUCCCGGGGAGGGGCUGCUCCCCCUGGACACGGGGCUGGGACCCCUCGGUCCCUCUCGUUCCCUCUGUGAGCCAUCGUGCCCGGCCCUUCCUCCGCCCCUCCUUCCCAGCCUGCUCCCCACGGUCCCCACUGCAGCCGCUGUGUCGCCCUGGUGCCCAGCGGUGCGCCCAUCCACGAACUGUCUCCAGGCCCACUGCACCCGCUGAACCCACCGGACGUCCGCCUCCAACUGCGGCCACGGUCGGUGCGGGAUCUGCAUGGAUCCUGGCCCUCACCGUUCACACAGAAAACAGAUACCAACAGACGGGAACCUCCACAGACGUCCCUCGUGGGGAUCGCUGCCUCCGACUCUCGCGGAGAAACUGGUCCCAGACCAUCCCUCCCGGCACAGGUAACUCGAAACAUAGGAAAUAGCGGGCACGGGUGCUGAGCA